AACAGAAGGAUUUGGCCUUAAGUCAGAAAGAUGAGAUAAACAGGAUGACCAUUAAAACACAAAAACAUGCGCUAUCACCAACUGUGUGAAGAUCAACAUCAGAUUAAAUCCAGUUCAGUGAGUAGUGUUUAUGCAUCUCUCAGCCAGACAGGAUGUUCUACUGAUGUUUCAGACCGGGCUCCUGCUGAGCAGUGUGAAGCACAGGGAUUGCAUCUCACUGUGCAAUUUUCUUUUUGUCACCUUGAAAGUGCUUCUGUAUGCAAGGCUGGAACAAGGGUCAGCAGAUGUUGUGGCCUCGUUUCAAGGAAUCUUCAACGCUUCUACUUUCUUCAUCUUCUAAGCCUUUAAGAACUCGUCAGCCGCUUGAUAAUUCAGCACACAGAGCACCACCCUUAAGGGAAGAAAGGUGUUUCAGAGCCUCCCUGAUUCAGACAAACCAAGUGUCGCUACCUCUGAAUUUCUGCUGCAUGUUGCCAGCUAUCCACACUGAUGCAUAGCAGGACACGCCGAUGUGAGAGGAAGCAUUCCAGAAACAAUGUAGAUUUUACACUAUCUUUAGACAGGGAUCAGGAGGUCCUGCACUGCAUGUUCCAGCAGUUCCAGAGGCAUAACAAAGUUAAGUGCUGAGUGUGUAGAUUAGAAGAGUGUUAAGUGCUUUCCAUUUGAUACAUAACAGCAGUUACUUCACGGGCUCAGAAGCAUUGAUCAUCUGUCAGUAGGUGACACGAAAGCUGAGCUCAGUCUUCAGAGGUGCUUCUACACUCAGUGUGGUGUUAUGGAGCUCACCUGCUAGAAACUCCUGCUCUGUAAGCUUUAAAUGCCGUCUAAAUGUCCCUUUACCUAAUUAGAGAUAGUGAGAGCAGGAAUUGCCAUCUGCCGGCCGAGCCAGGAAUGAUCUGUGCCUGCAAUUCAUUUCUUCAUCUGUGUGGCUAAAUUUGGAAGUGGAUUCGAGCAUAAGAGAUGGUGUGACGUGAAAGCAGGACAAUGCAGCUUGCAGCCAACUCUGCACACAGUGCAUGGUGCUGCUCAGCCUCGCUCCAGGAAGGGCUGGGGAAAAACAGAGAAGAGAAUAGUUUUUUGGUGAUCUGAGACACCUCUUGAUUUUAUUGAGGUGUUGAUUUAAAAACAGUCAGCAAAAUGAUUGUUCUGUUGUGGAAAUUUUGAACUUUUGAACGAAGUUUGGAUAUUGGGAAAAAUUCCUUCUCAGAAGGAGUGGUGAGGCAGUGGCCCAGGCUGCCCAGAGAGAUGGUGGAGUCACCAUCCCUGAAGGUAUCCAAUAAACAUGGAGAUGUGGCAGUGAGGGAUGUGGUUAGUGGGCAUGGUGGGGAUGGGCUGACCGCUGGGCUAGGUGAUCCUUGGGGUCUUUUCCAACCUUAAUGAUUCUGUGAUUCUACGAAAGUGAUGAGUGGCCUCGGUUAGAAAUUAACUUCUGUGUCUCACAGUGUUUUCUGCAUGAGAAGAGUCAGUGGAAGGUUAUUUGACGACAUCUUCCCUGGCAGCCAUCCACUGCAGGAAGACAACAGAAAAUGGAACCCCACCUCCCCACCUCAUCUCCCCACCUGCAGGCUGAACAGAGGCACCCUCCCAGCCCCUGCCUAUGUGCCGCAGCGUCCUCACAGUCUUCUCCAAUUUGCAAGCAUCCAUUAAGCUCAAGUGCUCAUAUCUACUUCUUUGUCCACAGAGCACUGAGCUCACCCCUGCCUACUGUGAUCUGUGAAGUAUCAAUUCCCAGCCUCCUCAGGUAGGUCUCUUAGAAACCUCAUGCCCACCUCAAAACACCUUUGUUGGCUCUUCCUUGUUAUUGUGCAUAAAUGCAUGACAGCAGAGUUAUUCUUCCUCUACGGCACCAGUCAGGUUGUUUCCUUUGAACAUCCAUCAGUUUAGAAGGGAAUCCUACACAGGCUUCAUAUUCAGGUGCCUUCUGUCUUCUUUUCCUUGUAAGAUUUUAGGGAACAUGACUUCUGUUACAGCUGAUCUGUUUCUCAGGGAUGUAUCAGCCUUACUUCGAGGUACUUUGGCAGCGUCCAAGAGGAGACAAACUGCGAUGGAGACACAGGAGGACUAUUUGCACCACCCAUAGUACACAUGCUCACAUGGAUUAUGUAUGGCUAUGUCAUUAUAUAUAGCUCACAUUUUUUCCACUUCCUUCUCUUUAAUAUUGAAAAUGUCUCUAACAAUUCUGCUCUAGUUUCCUUCAAUUUGACAGCAUCUGGAAUAAGCAACAGUCCUCAGCUUUUGGUUUGUUUGUUUGUUUUUGCUGGCUGGACAACACAGCAGUCAGUGCUGUACCAGCUAUGGCUGGUGCCUGACUUCCCUCUCUUCAGGCUCUCUUCUAACCCUCCCCAGCUACAACCACAUGAGUGGGGGCGGGAAAUCCAUCACAGUCAAACCCAGAAAGCAGUCAGUGAAAACAAAUAAGGUUGCUAAGGAACCGUCCAGAUAAAACUCAAACCCACAAAAUCUGGGCAAUAGAAAGUUGUUCAUGAGCUGACUGCAGACAGAUGCUCAUUCCCCUCAGUGCUCGCUCUGUCAUGUACUAAUACAGACUGAGGCUGUGAUUACUGUGAUACCUGUGUAGGACUAAUUCCCAAAAAUGUGGGAAUUCCAAGAACCCAGCAUACGGCAUCACUCGGUAUUUACCUGUCUCUCCUCCAUCCUUUUUUAAAUCAUACCACACAAAGUGCCAAGUACACGUAUAGUACAGUUAGAAUUCAUUGUGUAACUGCAUCAUUACCUUUAAUCACAGCAGCCUCAUUAGCAAUAGCAGUGAAGGUGCCAGCACAGCAGCACAGCUGUGCAACGUAAGCACACAAACCACAGGGAUGCAGAAGGCACCAAUCCCUGCCCCUGCCUUCCUGCCAGCUCAGCUAAGGACAGUGAGGCCAUGACUCCUCAGAGGCAGCUCCACCUCCGCCCUGCUGUGCAGGUACAGCCUCGGGAAGCACGCCUUGCCACUGGGGAGCUUUUCCUCCAAACCAAACUCAUCUCUGCAGUCCGUAAAUAAAGCUAUCUCCAGUGCAUCACUGGAAGGUAAGGAGAUGAAAAAAGGAGAAGUGAGCAUGCCAGCUGUGCCUUGCCCACACCACAGAGCCCUGGGGGCCAUGUUUAUAUGCUUUCAGACCUAGAGAGCUCCAGACGCAAGGGGCAAUUGCGGUGAGGCCCCUUUUGACAGCUGCCCUGUGAGCACAGCAUGUUCUUUUCCCCACGCACACACCUACAGCGCAGCAUCUGACAAGUUUCCUCAUGCUUUAAAAGACUGUGAGAAAGAACACGUAACUAUGAAGUUGUUAUAUUUAGCCCUCAUAUCUCCACUUACCUUGAGUCAAACCAGAUACUCAAAACCACAGCACUGCCUGCCAUGCAGAGGUGCCAUCUUACACACUGUACAACAGAGAUCACAUUUGCCAUCCGUCUCGUGGCUUAAUCGUUGCUUUGCAGCAAGGCUGAAACUUCUCCAAAAGAAAUGAGGUGAGCUCAGGAUGAAGUCAAGCUAGCAACUCUCUCUUUGCACACUAUGAAACUCACACUGCCCACUUUGCACCAAGACAGCGCCGCUUUGACUAAUACAAAGAACUUACUACGAACUGAACAAAUUUAAAUCCCUGAUAGCAACAUAACCUGAAAACAAUUUGUAUUAAAAAAUACAACACAGCCUAACAAUGAAAAAUAUUUUUAGGGAAAACAUUAUAUAUAUAUCUUUUUUUCUUAGCUAAAUGACCUCAAAAAGACCCCAAACUUUCAAAGCCCUUUCUUUGUCAUGCUGCAAGCUUCAUCAAACUAAGUGCAGCAAGAACACUGCGUGGCAUUUGCACAGCCAGAGUUACAGCUCAGCUCUUACACAAGGACAGCAAAGCUGCCCAACGGUUUCCAUCCAGGAAGGAGAAGACAAGUAAAACUAAACUGUUUCCUUCUGAAGUGACACUUCAGCUGAUGAAACUCUGAGAAAUGAGUAGAAAAGAAAGUACUGAAAAGCACACUUGCAGCACUGCUGUAUUCAUCAUGUACAUAGUGCACAUAUUUAUAAGAACUACAGAAUCCUCCCCAACUCACAAGCAUAAACUCUGGAAAGAAGCAGCUCUCAAACGCAGGUAAGAGGAGACUUGUGCCUUUCAUGGUUGCUUCACAUACUGUAAAAUGAAGCAUGGUAGAAAUACUUAAGAUCAGCAAAAAUACGAACUUACCUUUGGCUCCUUCCAUUCUGGGCACAAAUGAAGCAUCAAAGAUUGAAAUUCAAACUGUAAAGGUUUCAUUUAUGCCUAAAGCAAACAAUGGGUACUUUGCUACCAUGGUGAUGAACACAGCAAAAACACCUUUAUCACUUCUGAUUCUGCAAAUGUGAAGGAGGGCUUGGUGCAACAGUUGAAAGUAAUCUGGCAUUAGACACGUUAUGAGUUCAUACGUUAGAAAAUGGUUUGGAGUUUAUUAAGUAUUGCAAUUGUGCAUAAACCAAAAUACAUCAGCAGUGUUUGAACGCAGAGGUCAUGUCGCACAUAGUAUGUGUACACUCUAUGCUGGUCCUGCAAAGAAUUUAUAAGAUAGGUUGACUGAUCAAGGUUUCCCAACAUUAUAACCAUAAAACUGUUUGGGAAAUGAGUCACCUGCUUAACUAGCACACGUUUGCUCAUAUCAAGAGAGUAAAUAUUCAGCUUUGGAAAACUAAACAAGUUACAUCUUGUGUUCCCCCCCCCCUUCUAAA